rnacentral:rRNA from 1 species
AUGGAGAACCUCUCUAUGGAGGGCAAGGCGCUGUAUGAGACGCUCACGUCUGCGGCGACGAUCGCCCACCAGCAACAGAAGAAAGAGCUUGAGGAGCUCAUCAUCGCGGUGGUCGGCCACGCCGUUGACACGGCGAUCUCCAAGUCUAUUCCGCUUGCAGUCGACCAGGCGUUGGGAUCCGUGGUCGAGGACUUGCAAGCCUACACCGAUGGCGCUGAGCAGGACCUACACAAGCAAAUCUACGAGCUCUGCGCCUCGAUUGGUCUCGCCUCCAACUCGGGCACGGCGACAGUGCGGCCGCCUUCGUCCAGGGGAGCGGCGGAGACCGGCCCCGAUGGGCACGGCGGACAUUCGACUACAUGGGGGUCGGGAUCUGGGGCUUCGCUGCCCUACGUUCCGCCUCCGGCACGAGGUAUCACCGAUCCGCCCCAUCCUUCUCGUUUGCCAGUCUGA